GAGCAGUUUAUUAGAAUACGGUGUGACAAGGUGUUUCGAGCAGGUUUCUUACAACCUCAAAGUUAUUUAGUUGACCUUAGAUAUUGAUUAGACGGUGGUUUGGUCAGGGCUUUCUUCCCCCUUUUUUACUUUACGAAGAAAUCGGUUGAAUUCGCCAUAAGUUGUUUACCGGUGGAGAGGAAACUAGCAGUUUAAGCAGGUCACCGAAACUCUUAAUAGCAACAUCUACAACAAAUAUAAAUCGUCGUUCGCUAAAGAGUCGCUGACUUAGUAUUUCCUCCCGGUGUCAAC